CUGUUUGUAUGUAUGUACGUACGUCUUCAGUCACGCCUAUUCUGGUCACACCCAACGUGUGCACUACUAUCUAUUUAAAUGUCAAUGAUCUAAUGCGGUAGUAUUCUAAUGAAAUAUUUUCAUUGAUGUGGGAGUGGUUGCAACAAAAUGGCGACUAUUCAGGCUAUGAAACGGGAGCAAUUCUCCAGCUUACUUGCAGCAGGAUAAGACUCAUCUGUUGUCAAGACACUUCUCUAGCAGCAAGAAAGUUAAGAAAGCAGCUGUAUAAUCAUUAAGAUCCAUCAGAAAGAAGAUUGCAUGUGAGACAGUGACUGAUUCAUAUGCUCUAUCUUCCAUGCUAGAAGGAAACUUUAAUAUCUGCAGAAAUUCUUAACUCAUAAAACUAAAAGAGCAAGCUCAUAGCAUGAAAUUACCUUCUACUGAUGAAAGUUCUGCACUGCUCCUCGUCAGUGGAUAAACAUUUAUUUAGUCCUAUGUGACUACAUGUCUACAUCAAUUCAUAUAGACAUUGUAUAUUGAUAAUCGAAAA